rnacentral:sRNA from 1 species
GAUUCUGACAAUGGAGAUAUUAAUUAUGAUUAUGUUCAUGAAUUGUCAUUGGAAAUGAAGCGUCAGAAGAUACAGAGGGAAUUAAUGAAGCUGGAACAAGAAAACAUGGAGAAGAGAGAAGAAAUUAUCAUUAAAAAGGAGGUUUCACCAGAAGUGGUUAGAUCAAAAUUGUCCCCGUCACCUUCUCUAAGAAAGUCUAGCAAAUCUCCGAAGCGAAAAUCAAGCCCAAAGUCGUCUUCAGCUAGCAAGAAAGAUAGGAAGACAUCUGCAGUAUCUUCUCCCCUGUUGGACCAGCAGAGAAAUUCAAAAACCAACCAAAGUAAAAAGAAAGGACCACGUACUCCUAGUCCACCCCCUCCUAUACCAGAAGAUAUCGCUCUGGGGAAAAAAUACAAAGAAAAAUAUAAAGUAAAAGACAGGAUAGAAGAAAAAACAAGAGAUGGAAAGGACAGAGGACGAGAUUUUGAACGACAAAGAGAAAAGAGAGACAAGCCAAGGACAUGAAACAACAGAGCUAGGAAUACUGGAAGAUUAUAUAAAUACCUGAUCUGCACGCACUGGAGUUCUAAAGCCAUAUGUGACAAGACAUUGGAAAAAGACAUUUUGGUUUAGGAAGAGUUAAUUACCAAGGUUCUUAGGUGGGGCCGUUAUUUUCAUUUGUCUCCAUUACUCUGAAUGAAGAAAUUACAGGCGCACCAAUUUUAUUGAAGCUCACAGAUGUUGUGUAUUUUUACAAAUGGAAGGUUUGUGGCAUCCCUGCAUUAAACAAGCCUAUCAGUGCCAUUUUUCCAAUAA